ACGAACGCUGGCGGCGUGCUUAACACAUGCAAGUCGAACGGAAAGGCCCUGCUUUUGUGGGGUGCUCGAGUGGCGAACGGGUGAGUAACACGUGAGUAACCUGCCCUUGACUUUGGGAUAACUUCAGGAAACUGGGGCUAAUACCGGAUAGGAGCUCCUGCUGCAUGGUGGGGGUUGGAAAGUUUCGGCGGUUGGGGAUGGACUCGCGGCUUAUCAGCUUGUUGGUGGGGUAGUGGCUUACCAAGGCUUUGACGGGUAGCCGGCCUGAGAGGGUGACCGGCCACAUUGGGACUGAGAUACGGCCAAUACUCCUACGGGAGGCAGCAGUGGGGAAUAUUGCACAAUGGGCGGAAGCCUGAUGCAGCAACGCCGCGUGCGGGAUGACGGCCUUCGGGUUGUAAACCGCUUUCGCCUGUGACGAAGCGUGAGUGACGGUAAUGGGUAAAGAAGCAACGGCUAACUACGUG
rnacentral:rRNA from 1 species